AUCUCUGUAGAGUCUGCAUAUCAAUAAGCGGAGGAAAAGAAACUAACAAGGAUUCCCUUAGUAACGGCGAGUGAAGCGGGAAGAGCUCAAAUUUGAAAUCUUCAAGGUUCUACCUUGACGAAUUGUAGUUUAAAGAAGUGUUUUCUGUUAGAUGAGUAGCAAAAGUUCCUUGGAAUGGGACAUCAUAGAGGGUGAGAAUCCCGUAUUUGGUUAUUCAUUCUAGCUGUGUGAUACACUUUCAAAGAGUCGGAUUGUUUGGGAAUGCAGUCCAAAAUGGGUGGUAAAUUUCAUCUAAAGCUAAAUAUUGGCGAGAGACCGAUAGCGAACAAGUACCGUGAGGGAAAGAUGAAAAGAACUUUGAAAAGAGAGUUAAACAGUACGUGAAAUUGUCAAAAGGGAAGCGUUUGACACCAGUGUUGUUUUUCCGAAAAUCAAUUACGAAUGGCUUGAUUUUGUGUUGUAUUGACCUUAUCAGCUUUCUUCACUUUUUUCGAGUCUUUCUUAAUGCACUUUUUGGUUAACAAGUCAACAUCAAUUUCUUUUGUUGUAAAAGAGUAUUCGGAAGGUGGCUUUCUUUUCGGAGAAAGUGUUUAUAGCCCUAUACUUCUACAAUCGGAGAGAUUGAGGUCUGCAGCGUAGAUCCUUAGGGGUUAGAUACACUUGUGCUAAGUUGUAGCUUUUCAUAGACAACUUGUUGACUAUGUUUAGUCAUGCGGCUUACUCGCUUGUGCUAUUUUACCUACGCUUAGGAUGUUGACUGAUAUGUAGUCGUA
rnacentral:rRNA from 1 species